rnacentral:tRNA from 1 species
UCNNUUAGUACACCGGUAGUAUGCGUCCUUCCCAAGGACGAGAAGCGAGUUCAAUUCUCGUACCCCGCUCCA